ACUUGAAAGAAUAUACUAAAAUAUUCUAGAUAAAUAAUUUGAUUAUGACAUAUUUUAUCUAUAAGUCUUGACAAAUUCACGUGCCAGCAGUCGCGGUAAAACGUGGUAGACAAGUGUUAUUCGUCUUAAAUAGGUUUAUGGGGUACGUAGACAGUUGAUUAAGUCUAAUAAAAGAUACUAAUUAUACUAGAGUUUUAUGUAAAAAGGUAGUACGGUUAGUGUAAGGAUAAAAUACAUUGAUACAACUUCGAAACUGGUAAAAGCAAAAGCAAUCUUUUAUGUAAAAACUGACGUUAAGGGACGAAGGCUUAAUUAAUGAAUAGGAUUAGGAACCCUAGUAAUGCUAGCAGACAAUGAUGAAUGCCAUAUAUAAGAUAUAUAAUAUUUUAUGUAUAAAUGAAAGUGGAAGCAUUUCACCUCGAGAGUAAUACGGCAACGUAGGAACUGAAAUCAUUAGACCGUUUCUGAGACCAGUAGUGAAGUAUGUUAUUUAAUUUGAUGAUCCACAAAAAAUCUUACCACAAUUUGUAUAAUAAACACAAGUGUUGCACGGCUGUCUAAAGCUAAUGUUGUGAAACUAUGGUUAGAUCCAUGAAAUUAGCGUAAACCCUUACCUUUUUUUAUAAAAGGUAGUUCGUUUAUAAAUUGAUUAUGAUAUAAGGGACUAAGACAAGUCAUCAUGACCUGAAUAUUGUGGGCUAU
rnacentral:rRNA from 1 species